rnacentral:rRNA from 1 species
UACGGAGGGGGCUAGCGUUGUUCGGAUUUACUGGGCGUAAAGCGCACGUAGGCGGCUUUGUAAGUUAGAGGUGAAAGCCCAGGGCUUAACCCUGGAAUUGCCUUUAAGACUGCAUCGCUAGAAUCGUGGAGAGGUGAGUGGAAUUCCGAGUGUAGAGGUGAAAUUCGUAGAUAUUCGGAGGAACACCGGUGGCGAAGGCGGGUCUCUGGGCCGUUACUGACGCUGAGGAGCGAAAGCGUGGGGAGCGAACAGG